rnacentral:rRNA from 1 species
GAUGAACGCUGGCGGCGUGCUUAACACAUGCAAGUCGAACGGAAAGGCCCAAGCUUGCUUGGGUACUCGAGUGGCGAACGGGUGAGUAACACGUGGGUGAUCUGCCCUGCACUUCGGGAUAAGCCUGGGAAACUGGGUCUAAUACCGGAUAGGACCACAUUUUGGAUGGUGUGGUGGAAAGUUUUUCGGUGUGGGAUGAGCUCGCGGCCUAUCAGCUUGUUGGUGGGGUAAUGGCCUACCAAGGCGUCGACGGGUAGCCGGCCUGAGAGGGUGUACGGCCACAUUGGGACUGAGAUACGGCCCAGACUCCUACGGGAGGCAGCAGUGGGGAAUAUUGCACAAUGGGCGCAAGUCUGAUGCAGCGACGCCGCGUGGGGGAUGACGGCCUUCGGGUUGUAAACUCCUUUCGCUAGGGACGAAGCGUUUUUGUGACGGUACCUGGAGAAGAAGCACCGGCUAACUACGUG